GUCAGAGAGGAUUUUGGGAGUCCAGCCGUCUUCGUGGGUGGCGGAGUUGGAGAAUUGUUUUCUCCAGCAGAGGAUGGUUUAUCUUCGACCGGAAGUGAAAUCUCGGAAGGAUUUUUAGUCUCUUCCAAUGACGAUGAAGCAGAAACAAUGACCCGACUCCACAAGCGGAAACAACUGUUAGGACGAUAAAGACAAAAAUUCGGGUUUCUGCGUCAAUCGUUGUUUUUCCAUGAAAUUGGAAAAAUACGAAAAGAAAAAUAAUGCAAAAGUUUUUCCACGCUGUUACCCCACCUGCACUGAUUGAUUGCCCAAAAGACGCCAGAAUUUCUCGAAAUGGUUUUAGAGUCAGACCCGAGCGUUAAGAAAUUUCCUUGGGCACACCACAAAAGCGAUGCUGCUCCCCCCAGCAGGGCCGAGGUCAGGUAAAGCAGCCAGGUCGCGGGGUAUGUAAACUGGACGAUGAAGAGCAAGUAAAUGGCUGCGGAACAGACCUAACACAAUGGACACGACAAAUUUACUAUUAUGUGUGUGUGCUAUUUUCAUGUAAAUUUAUGCAUGCAUUUGCGUAAAUUGCAUAAGGGUCUACUUAAUUACCAUGCUCCAUUUUGACCUAAUGACCGCAACGAUGGAAGGGGCAACCCAAGAGCCGAGUGAAAACACGGCGUAAAUGAUGCACAGUGAGA